rnacentral:tRNA from 1 species
CGGGGUGUAGCGCAGUUGGUAGCGCGCCUGCUUUGGGAGCAGGAUGCCGGGGGUUCGAGUCCCUUCACUCCGA